UGGGGAAUAUUGGACAAUGGGGGGAACCCUGAUCCAGCCAUGCCGCGUGUGUGAAGAAGGCCUUAUGGUUGUAAAGCACUUUAAGCGAGGAGGAGGGUACUGGUAUUAAUACUACCAGGUACUGGACGUUACUCGCAGAAUAAGCACCGGCUAACUCUGUGCCAGCAGCCGCGGUAAUACAGAGGGUGCGAGCGUUAAUCGGAUUUACUGGGCGUAAAGCGUGCGUAGGCGGCUAAUUGAGUCGGAUGUGAAAUCCCCGAGCUUAACUUGGGAAUUGCAUUCGAUACUGGUUAGCUAGAGUGUGGGAGAGGAUAGUAGAAUUCCAGGUGUAGCGGUGAAAUGCGUAGAGAUCUGGAGGAAUACCGAUGGCGAAGGCAGCCAUCUGGCCUAACACUGACGCUGAGGUACGAAAGCAUGGGGAGCAAACAGG
rnacentral:rRNA from 1 species